ensembl:snoRNA
GGCACUUGUGUUAUCUGUUUUUGACUAACUUGUUGACUAAGACGUAUGGACAGGUGCAAAAAAUAAAUCCUUUUUUGCAAGCCAGAACUCAUUGCUCAAUAUGAGUUUUGAUACAUGUAAGAAGGAAUAUU